GGGAGGUUGGUGGUGGACGAGCCACUCGCCAACCGGGUCAGGUCCGGAAGGAAGCAGCCCUAACGAGCCACGGCACGGGUCAUCGUGCCAGCCUCCCACCCUUUCU
rnacentral:SRP_RNA from 7 species